rnacentral:rRNA from 1 species
GAUGAACGCUGGCGGCGUGCUUAACACAUGCAAGUCGAACGGAAAGGCUCCUGCUUGCAGGGGUACUCGAGUGGCGAACGGGUGAGUAACACGUGGGUGAUCUGCCCUGCACUUCGGGAUAAGCCUGGGAAACUGGGUCUAAUACCGGAUAGGACGAUGGUUUGGAUGCCAUUGUGGAAAGUUUUUCGGUGUGGGAUGAGCUCGCGGCCUAUCAGCUUGUUGGUGGGGUAAUGGCCUACCAAGGCGUCGACGGGUAGCCGGCCUGAGAGGGUGUACGGCCACAUUGGGACUGAGAGACGGCCCAGACUCCUACGGGAGGCAGCAGUGGGGAAUAUUGCACAAUGGGCGCGAGCCUGAUGCAGCGACGCCGCGUGGGGGAUGACGGCCUUCGGGUUGUAAACUGCUUUCGCUAGGGACGAAGCGCAAGUGACGGUACCUGGAGAAGAAGCACCGGCUAACUACGUG